CCGGCACGGGUGGGUAACACGUAUCCAACCUGCCGUCUACUCUUGGCCAGCCUUCUGAAAGGAAGAUUAAUCCAGGAUGGGAUCAUGAGUUCACAUGUCCGCAUGAUUAAAGGUAUUUUCCGGUAGACGAUGGGGAUGCGUUCCAUUAGAUAGUAGGCGGGGUAACGGCCCACCUAGUCAACGAUGGAUAGGGGUUCUGAGAGGAAGGUCCCCCACAUUGGAACUGAGACACGGUCCAA
rnacentral:rRNA from 1 species